UGAUCCUGGCUCAGGAUGAACGCUAGCGGCAGGCCUAACACAUGCAAGUCGAGGGGUAACAGGAAAGCUUGCUUUUGCUGACGACCGGCGCACGGGUGCGUAACGCGUAUGCAACCUACCUCAUACAGGAGGAUAGCCCUUGGAAACGAGGAUUAACACUCCAUGGUAUCAUGAAUUCGCAUGUUUUUAUGAUUAAAGUAUUACGGUAUGAGAUGGGCAUGCGUCCCAUUAGCUAGUUGGUGAGGUAACGGCUCACCAAGGCGACGAUGGGUAGGGGGCCUGAGAGGGUGGUCCCCCACACUGGUACUGAGACACGGACCAGACUCCUACGGGAGGCAGCAGUGAGGAAUAUUGGUCAAUGGAGGCAACUCUGAACCAGCCAUGCCGCGUGAAGGAUGACGGCCCUAUGGGUUGUAAACUUCUUUUAUAGAGGAAGAAACUUGUCUACGUGUAGACAACUGACGGUACUCUACGAAUAAGGAUCGGCUAACUCCGUGCCAGCAGCCGCGGUAAUACGGAGGAUCCAAGCGUUAUCCGGAUUCAUUGGGUUUAAAGGGUCCGUAGGCGGGUCUUUAAGUCAGUGGUGAAAGCCGACAGCUCAACUGUCGAACUGCCAUUGAUACUGGAGACCUUGAGUACAAAUGAAGUAGGCGGAAUGAGUCAUAUAGCGGUGAAAUGCAUAGAUAUGACUCAGAACACCGAUUGCGAAGGCAGCUUACUAACAUGUAACUGACGCUGAGGGACGAAAGCGUGGGGAGCGAACAGGAUUAGAUACCCUGGUAGU
rnacentral:rRNA from 1 species